rnacentral:rRNA from 1 species
GAUGAACGCUGGCGGCGUGCUUAACACAUGCAAGUCGAACGGUGAAGGCGGAGCUUGCUCUGCUGGAUCAGUGGCGAACGGGUGAGUAACACGUGAGCAAUCUGCCCCUGACUCUGGGAUAAGCGCUGGAAACGGCGUCUAAUACUGGAUACGAGCUGCGAAGGCAUCUUCAGCAGCUGGAAAGAACUUCGGUCAGGGAUGAGCUCGCGGCCUAUCAGCUUGUUGGUGAGGUAACGGCUGACCAAGGCGUCGACGGGUAGCCGGCCUGAGAGGGUGACCGGCCACACUGGGACUGAGACACGGCCCAGACUCCUACGGGAGGCAGCAGUGGGGAAUAUUGCACAAUGGGCGAAAGCCUGAUGCAGCAACGCCGCGUGGGGGACGACGGCCUUCGGGUUGUAAACCUCUUUUAGCAGGGAAGAAGCGAAAGUGACGGUACCUGCAGAAAAAGCGCCGGCUAACUACGUG